UACGUAGGAUGCAAGCGUUGUCCGGAAUUAUUGGGCGUAAAGAGCGCGCAGGCGGCCUGUCAAGUCAGAUGUGAAAUAACCAGGCUUAACCUGGUGGGGUCAUUUGAAACUGGCAGGCUAGAGUACAGCAGAGGAUAGCGGAAUUCCCGGUGUAGUGGUGAAAUGCGUAGAUAUCGGGAGGAACACCAGUGGCGAAGGCGGCUAUCUGGGCUGCAACUGACGCUGAGGCGCGAAGGCUAGGGGAGCAAACAGG
rnacentral:rRNA from 1 species